AUGAACGCUGGCGGCGGGCCGCAUACAUGCAAGUCGCGCGCACAGACGAGGAGCUUGCUCCUCUGACGUUAGCGGCGGACGGGUGAGUAACACGUGGAUAACCUACCUAUAAGACUGGGAUAACUUCGGGAAACCGGAGAUAAUACCGGAUAAUAUAUUGAACCGCAUGGUUCAAUAGUGAAAGACGGUUUUGCUGUCACUUAUAGAUGGAUCCGCGCCGCAUUAGCUAGUUGGUAAGGUAACGGCUUACCAAGGCGACGAUGCGUAGCCGACCUGAGAGGGUGAUCGGCCACACUGGAACUGAGACACGGUCCAGACUCCUACGGGAGGCAGCAGUAGGGAAUCUUCCGCAAUGGGCGAAAGCCUGACGGAGCAACGCCGCGUGAGUGAUGAAGGUCUUCGGAUCGUAAAACUCUGUUAUUAGGGAAGAACAAAUGUGUAAGUAACUAUGCACGUCUUGACGGUACCUAAUCAGAAAGCCACGGCUAACUACGUG
rnacentral:rRNA from 1 species